GUCUGCCGUGAAAGUCCGGGGCUCAACUCCGGAUCUGCGGUGGGUACGGGCAGACUAGAGUGAUGUCAGGGAGACUGGAAUUCCUGGUGUAGCGGUGAAAUGCGCAGAUAUCAGGAGGAACACCGAUGGCGAAGGCAGGUCUCUGGGCAUUAACUGACGCUGAGGAGCGAAAGCAUGGGGAGCGAACAGGAUUAGAUACCCUGGUAGUCCAUGCCGUAAACGUUGGGCACUAGGUGUGGGGGACAUUCCACGUUUUCCGCGCCGUAGCUAACGCAUUAAGUGCCCCGCCUGGGGAGUACGGCCGCAAGGCUAAAACUCAAAGGAAUUGACGGGGGCCCGCACAAGCGGCGGAGCAUGCGGAUUAAUUCGAUGCAACGCGAAGAACCUUACCAAGGCUUGACAUGGACCGGACCGGGCUGGAAACAGUCCUUCCCCUUUGGGGCCGGUUCACAGGUGGUGCAUGGUUGUCGUCAGCUCGUGUCGUGAGAUGUUGGGUUAAGUCCCGCAACGAGCGCAACCCUNGUUCCAUGUUGCCAGCGCGUAAUGGCGGGGACUCAUGGGAGACUGCCGGGGUCAAUUCGGAGGAAGGUGGGGACGACGUCAAAUCAUCAUGCCCCUUAUGUCUUGGGCUUCACGCAUGCUACAAUGGCCGGUACAAAGGGUUGCGAUACUGUGAGGUGGAGCUAAUCCCAAAAAGCCGGUCUCAGUUCGGAUUGGGGUCUGCAACUCGACCCCAUGAAGUCGGAGUCGCUAGUAAUCGCAGAUCANCANCGCUGCGGUGAAUACGUUCCCGGGCCUUGUACACACCGCCCGUCAAGUCACGAAAGUUGGUAACACCCGAAGCCGGUGGCCUAACCCCUUGUGGAGGGAGCUGUCCAAGGUGG
rnacentral:rRNA from 1 species